UCGGUGCCCGAGGCCAGGGUGAGCAGGCUGGCUGACUGACUUGACUGACUCAGCCUGAUUGAAGGGUGACGUUCAGAGGCAUGUGCAAAGUCGAACAGGGCCAAAGCACUCUGCGAGGUGCCAAAGGUGGCGGGCGUGCCGCGCUGAAAGAAAGAGGGUGCUGAAAGGCUUGCACCAAAAAAGGCGCGAAGACCAGCGGCGGCGCCGCCAGCUGUCACCGUCGCUGGUCCUUCAUCUGUCCAGCAGCGGCGAUGACGAGCCGAUGCCUGCCUUGGUGGAGAUGGCAUCGCCGCCGC